rnacentral:rRNA from 1 species
UGGGUGGCGAGUGGCGGAGGGUGAGGAAUACAUCGGAAUCUACCUUUUCGUGGGGGAUAACGUAGGGAAACUUACGCUAAUACCGCAUACGACCUUAGGGUGAAAGCGGAGGACCUUCGGGCUUCCGCGGAUAGAUGAGCCGAUGUCGGAUUAGCUAGUUGGCGGGGUAAAGGCCCACCAAGGCGACGAUCCGUAGCUGGUCUGAGAGGAUGAUCAGCCACACUGGAACUGAGACACGGUCCAGACUCCUACGGGAGGCAGCAGUGGGGAAUAUUGGACAAUGGGCGCAAGCCUGAUCCAGCCAUGCCGCGUGGGUGAAGAAGGCCUUCGGGUUGUAAAGCCCUUUUGUUGGGAAAGAAAAGCAGUCGGUUAAUACCCGAUUGUUCUGACGGUACCCAAAGAAUAAGCACCGGCUAACUUCGUGCCAGCAGCCGCGGUAAUACGAAGGGUGCAAGCGUUACUCGGAAUUCUGGGCGUAAAGCGUGCGUAGGUGGUUGUUUAAGUCCGUUGUGAAAGCCCUGGGCUCAACCUGGGAAUUGCAGUGGAUACUGGAUAACUAGAGUGUG